rnacentral:rRNA from 1 species
AUGUAAUUAUUGACUACGUCAAAUAAAGUUCUAGAUAGAUGAUUGAUAAUGACAGUUUUCUAUCUAUAUGUCUUGACCAAAUCUUGUGCCAGCAGUCGCGGCAAUACAAGGAAGACUAGUGUUAUUCAUCUUUAUUAGGUUUAAAGGGUACCUAGACAGUAUUUUCAGCCCCAAAAGGGUACAGAUUUACUAGAGUUUUAUGUGAGAGGUAAAUAUUAGAACCAUUGGAGUAGAGAUAGAAUUUUUUGAUACUAAUGGGACGGAUAACGGCGAAGGCAAGCCUCUAUAUAAUAACUGACGUUGAGGGACGAAGGCUUGGGGAGCGAAUAGGAUUAGAUACCCUAGUAGUCCAAGCAGAGAAUUAUGAAUGUUAUAGAUUAAAUUAUUUGGUGUAUAAAUGAAAGUGUAAGCAUUCCACCUCAAGAGUAAUGCGGCAACGCAGGAACUGAAAUCAUUAGACCGUUUCUGAAACCAGUAGUGAAGUAUGUUAUUUAAUUCGAUGACCCUCGAAAAACCUUACCACAAUUUGAAUUGUCUAUCUAGGUUUUGCUUUGCUUUACCGAAAAGUACGCGUGGUUAUAUCCAUACUUUUUCCACGUGUACCUGUUAGAUAACAAGUGUUGCACGGCUGUCUUCAGUUAAUGUCGUGAGACUUUGGUUAGAUCCAUUAAAUUAACGUAAACCCUUGCUAUAUUUUAUACAUAUAGCAGUUCACCAAUUUAUUGGAUAUGAUAACAGGGAUAAGAC